rnacentral:rRNA from 1 species
GUCGUACGCUUCUUUUUCCCCGGAGCUUGCUCCACCGGAAAAAGAAGAGUGGCGAACGGGUGAGUAACACGUGGGUAACCUGCCCAUCAGAAGGGGAUAACACUUGGAAACAGGUGCUAAUACCGUAUAACAAUCGAAACCGCAUGGUUUUGAUUUGAAAGGCGCUUUCGGGUGUCGCUGAUGGAUGGACCCGCGGUGCAUUAGCUAGUUGGUGAGGUAACGGCUCACCAAGGCCACGAUGCAUAGCCGACCUGAGAGGGUGAUCGGCCACAUUGGGACUGAGACACGGCCCAAACUCCUACGGGAGGCAGCAGUAGGGAAUCUUCGGCAAUGGACGAAAGUCUGACCGAGCAACGCCGCGUGAGUGAAGAAGGUUUUCGGAUCGUAAAACUCUGUUGUUAGAGAAGAACAAGGAUGAGAGUAACUGUUCAUCCCUUGACGGUAUCUAACCAGAAAGCCACGGCUAACUACGUGCCAGCAGCCGCGGUAAUACGUAGGUGGCAAGCGUUGUCCGGAUUUAUUGGGCGUAAAGCGAGCGCAGGCGGUUUCUUAAGUCUGAUGUGAAAGCCCCCGGCUCAACCGGGGAGGGUCAUUGGAAACUGGGAGACUUGAGUGCAGAAGAGGAGAGUGGAAUUCCAUGUGUAGCGGUGAAAUGCGUAGAUAUAUGGAGGAACACCAGUGGCGAAGGCGGCUCUCUGGUCUGUAACUGACGCUGAGGCUCGAAAGCGUGGGGAGCAAACAGGAUUAGAUACCCUGGUAGUCCACGCCGUAAACGAUGAGUGCUAAGUGUUGGAGGGUUUCCGCCCUUCAGUGCUGCAGCUAACGCAUUAAGCACUCCGCCUGGGGAGUACGACCGCAAGGUUGAAACUCAAAGGAAUUGACGGGGGCCCGCACAAGCGGUGGAGCAUGUGGUUUAAUUCGAAGCAACGCGAAGAACCUUACCAGGUCUUGACAUCCUUUGACCACUCUAGAGAUAGAGCUUCCCCUUCGGGGGCAAAGUGACAGGUGGUGCAUGGUUGUCGUCAGCUCGUGUCGUGAGAUGUUGGGUUAAGUCCCGCAACGAGCGCAACCCUUAUUGUUAGUUGCCAUCAUUCAGUUGGGCACUCUAGCAAGACUGCCGGUGACAAACCGGAGGAAGGUGGGGAUGACGUCAAAUCAUCAUGCCCCUUAUGACCUGGGCUACACACGUGCUACAAUGGGAAGUACAACGAGUCGCGAAGUCGCGAGGCUAAGCUAAUCUCUUAAAGCUUCUCUCAGUUCGGAUUGUAGGCUGCAACUCGCCUACAUGAAGCCGGAAUCGCUAGUAAUCGCGGAUCAGCACGCCGCGGUGAAUACGUUCCCGGGCCUUGUACACACCGCCCGUCACACCACGAGAGUUUGUAACACCCGAAGUCGGUG